rnacentral:rRNA from 1 species
CCUCCGGGUGGCAGCAGUAGGGAAUCUUCCACAAUGGACGAAAGUCUGAUGGAGCAACGCCGCGUGUGUGAAGAAGGGUUUCGGCUCGUAAAGCUCUUUUGGUAGUGCAGAAAGAUAUAGGUAUUAACUCUCCUCUCUUUGACGUUACUUACUUAGAAAGUCACGGCUAACUACGUGCCAGCAGCCGCGGUAAUACGUAGGUGGCAAGCGUUUUACGGAUUUAUUGGGCGUAAAGCGCAUGCAGGCGGUUCAAUAAGUCUGAUGUGAAAGCCUUCGGCUCAACCGGAGAAUUGCAUCAGAUACUGGUGAACUUGAGUGCAGAAGAGGAGAGUAGAACUCCAUGUGUAGCGGUGGAAUGCGUAGAUAUAUGGAAGAACACCAGUGGCGAAGGCGGCUCUCUGGUCGGCAACUGACGCUGAGGCUCGAAAGCAUGGGUAGCGAACAGGAUUAGAUACCCGGGUAGUC